rnacentral:lncRNA from 1 species
UGCUGUGUACUUCGCCUUAAAGAAAAUUGCGUGUGAAAUAUUUGUCUUCUGUGAGGACUGAAGACUAUUAGAAGGUGCACUGCUGGAAGUGGCCCUUGCUGCCAUAUCCAAAAAUAAAGCCCUUUUCUUGAAGGAACGAGACAUUGAGGUUUAGUUUGCUAUGGCAGAGGCUUUGGGAAUGUGCAACAAAAAUUCAGAAGUCUAAUUAAGGAAGCAUUGAAUUUAAGGCCUGCCUUGACUUUUUCACUCAGAAAGAAUAUGGCUCUUCCUCUAUGAAUAAACCAUCCCUAUCCUGGUG